CGGAGGGUGAGUAGUGUCUGGGAAACUGCCCGAUGGAGGGGGAUAACUACUGGAAACGGUAGCUAAUACCGCAUAACGUCGCAAGACCAAAGAGGGGACCUUCGGGCCUCUUGCCAUCGGAUGUGCCCAGAUGGGAUUAGCUAGUAGGUGGGGUAACGGCUCACCUAGGCGACGAUCCCUAGCUGGUCUGAGAGGAUGACCAGCCACACUGGAACUGAGACACGGUCCAG
rnacentral:rRNA from 1 species